GACGUCCUGCCCGGCUCGCCUUACAGUUGGGCUGUGGUUAUGUUUUACCUCAGAGCGACUCGCUUGAGGGGUGUGGGGAGGAAAGCCGGUGUUAGUGGACAAAAAGAGAUUUCAGUCAUUUCACAAGCCUUGCUCCCAUCCCAGUCACUGUGUUCAGCUCUGGUUUCAUGUCGUGUGCAGAUCUCCCAAUAGACUGACAGAAGCAGACAUGAAUUCAUGAUGAGGAGCAUCCAGUACACUAGGUUAGUGCACCAACUGAGAUGUAAUCCAGAGAACCGUUCUC
rnacentral:lncRNA from 1 species